rnacentral:lncRNA from 1 species
UUCAGUAAGCGACACACAAGUCCAAGGUAGAUUUCAGAAAACCAGAGCUUUUACUCCCCCAACAAACACUAUGGUUGUCACCCCACAUGCCCAGAACGAGUGGAGCAGUGCUUAUAAUAGUGAUGAAUCUGCUCCGUUGGCAAAGGGGAGCUCGUGGCCUGGAGCGAGUCCUCUCUCUCCUUUGGUCUCCCCUCGUGGCGGCAAGGAUUCCUCCUUUGAGGAGCUUCAUGGGGAAAGGAGUCUUUGAGCUUAUCAGAUGAUUGCAAUGGAGUCCUUUGGGCCUGUGAGUUCUAUGCUCUCCCCACCCCCCAACCCCAAUGCACUUCCAAAGUCAUCGAUGUUAUUAUAUACAUUGGCUGGAAUGGUUUGGAGGAACAAUGAUCGAUGAUAGUUUACAGGUAGUAGCUAGUUUAGUUAAGAAAGGAAAGAAAAAUGAUAGCUUGAAGAUUCCUUCAGGAUAUCAGGUUUGAGAAGAAAAAAGGAAAAAAAAAAAAAGAACAAGGAUGAUAAUGCUGUAAUGAUUACUAAGAGUGAUGUACCUGACAUCCUUGCAUGUUAAAAUCAAGUUUGGGAAGCACAGCCCAUGUCAUCUUUCUCUUGCCCAAAGAAAAGCCACCUUGAUUUAUCCAAUUAGUUGUGUAUGGGA